GACGAACGCUGGCGGCGUGCCUAAUACAUGCAAGUCGAGCGGACCACUUCGGUGGUCAGCGGCGGACGGGUGAGUAACACGUGGGCAACCUGCCUGUAAGACUGGGAUAACACCGGGAAACCGGUGCUAAUACCGGAUACUCCUUUCCUUCACAUGAGGGAAAGCUGAAAGACGGUUUCGGCUGUCACUUACAGAUGGUACCGCGGCGCAUUAGCUAGUUGGUGAGGUAACGGCUCACCAAGGCAACGAUGCGUAGCCGACCUGAGAGGUGUGACCGGCCACACUGGUACUGAGACACGGCCCAGACUCCUACGUGAGGCAGCAGUAGGGAAUCUUCCGCAAUGGACGAAAGUCUGACGGAGCAACGCCGCGUGAGCGAUGAAGGCCUUCGGGUCGUAAAGCUCUGUUGUCAGGGAAGAACAAGUACCGGAGUAACUGCCGGUACCUUGACGGUACCUGACCAGAAAGCCACGGCUAACUACGUGCCAGCCGCCGCAGUAACAC
rnacentral:rRNA from 1 species